rnacentral:rRNA from 1 species
GACGUAGGGCGCGAGCGUUGUCCGGAUUUAUUGGGCGUAAAGAGCUCGUAGGCGGCUUGUCGCGUCGACUGUGAAAACCCGAGGCUCAACUUCGGGCUUGCAGUCGAUACGGGCAGGCUAGAGUUCGGUAGGGGAGACUGGAAUUCCUGGUGUAGCGGUGAAAUGCGUAGAUAUCGUAAGGAAGACCAGUGGCGAAGGCGGGUCUCUGGACAGUUCCUGACGCUGAGGCGCGAAAGCGUGGGGAGCGAACAGG